GGGGAUAUGCUUAAAUGCCUAUCCCUGUGCAUAACAGGCACACCCCUGAUGUACUGAAGUAACAGGAUCUGGAAACUAGAUAAACCAAGACCAUCUCAGAGAACUGUCAGUUUGCCUGGAGAACUCAACCUCACUGAUGUUCCUCUUCACAUCUGGAGGUCCCAUCUCUUCUAUCCCGCAAUUCACUUAAAGAACAGAAGUGAGAGAAUUUGGCAUUCAGACCAGACCUGAAACUGAAGAGUAGGGAGCUGCAACAUUACAAAGAAAAUCACUGGAAGAAGGCCCAAAAGGAACUUUUCUUUCUUGACAGUUUUCCUUUUUGCAUUAAAUGGGGUGGCAGUUGGCCCCAAAAUUUAUUUUUUCCCGCUUGUCUAUUCAUUUUACAGUAUAUAUUGUACAGUACAGUACAGUUACAAAAUGAAGCAACAUUCAGAGCAAGGAUUUAUUUCCAUAUUAGAUUGUCUUUUUCAUUUCUGUUUAGAUUUUAGUUUGUUUUUUUUGUCACUUUCUGUAUAAUGGAGGAAAUCCCUUUGUUUGGUGAAUGUCCAGAUGCCUUACUGUACUGUCUGUCAUGCUACCUUUCAUUACGUUGCAAUGUUUGCUUCAUAAAUUAAAUCUGUGCACAUCACAUUUCCUAGCAACACAUCUUGCCUAUGACCCAAAAUGUUGGCAUCCAUGAUUUGACUGAAAGAAAAUAUAAAAGGAAAACUUGACAUAAAAUACUGAUGUAAUGACAUCACUAGAUAAAUUGUAAAAUCAUUAUGCUUAAUAAAUGAAAUUACAGACUGUUGAAACUCAAUUAAAAGAAAAAUGAACAGCAUAGGAAUCAUAAAUACUUGGAUAGAGAAAGGGAGGGUAGAAAUGCCAGCAACCAUACAACCUGCACUUCAGAGAAAGUCAUCCAUCUGAAGCUACGGUAAGCAUGUUUGGGUCUGGCCAGUACUGGGAUAAGAGAUCAACCAGGAAAAGCUUGGAUUGCUGCUUGGUGAACCCAGCAGGGACACUGCUGUAAAAAUGGUGCCGACCUUCGGAUAAUAAAUAAAAUUUAGGCCCUAACUCUCUGUGGUAAAAAAGAUCCCUGUGCAUCCUUUGUAAAGAGUAGGGUAUAACCUGAAGUCCUGGCUAAAUUGUCCACCACAGCUUGGUCAUUUUGGCCACUUGAUCAUCCCCU